rnacentral:rRNA from 1 species
GACGAACGCUGGCGGCGUGCUUAACACAUGCAAGUCGAACGGAAAGGCCCUGCUUUUGUGGGGUGCUCGAGUGGCGAACGGGUGAGUAACACGUGAGUAACCUGCCCUUGACUUUGGGAUAACUUCAGGAAACUGGGGCUAAUACCGGAUAGGAGCUCCUGCUGCAUGGUGGGGGUUGGAAAGUUUCGGCGGUUGGGGAUGGACUCGCGGCUUAUCAGCUUGUUGGUGGGGUAGUGGCUUACCAAGGCUUUGACGGGUAGCCGGCCUGAGAGGGUGACCGGCCACAUUGGGACUGAGAUACGGCCCAGACUCCUACGGGAGGCAGCAGUGGGGAAUAUUGCACAAUGGGCGGAAGCCUGAUGCAGCAACGCCGCGUGCGGGAUGACGGCCUCGGGUUGUAAACCGCUUUCGCCUGUGACGAAGCGUGAGUGACGGUAAUGGGUAAAGAAGCACCGGCUAACUACGUG